GCGAGGGGACGUCUGCUUUCGGGAAAAGACCGUAAAGGAGCCUCAGGCAACCGGUUGAAACGCUACUCUCCGCCGGAGGAGCGGCGACAAGACAGAGGCGGGGAAAAAGCGCCGGGGGCUAUCCCCACGUGGCGCUGACGCGGAGCCACUGAACCGCCGAGCCGAUCGGGGGCUAUAAAGUGAAUCGGGAGCCCGGAAGGCUGAGCUUCAGCAGAGAGCGAGCACUGCCUUCCCGGCUGAGGAGAAUUUCUAUACCAUUUUAAACCCUGAGCUACGAACGCUCUCCCUUUAGUGGUAGUUGGUUAUACCGGCGCCGGCGGCGGCCGGUUUAGCGUGUUUGGCGGAGCCCCUCGACUGGCUUGUCUUUCCUCCCGCGGCUUAGCAAGACCAGCGCCCUUCGUAGCCCCCAUGCAGGAUCUGCUCCACCGAGAAAAACGAGUCUCCCUCUCCGCCGCCCGCCUCCCGCGGAGAUCUCCUUUCGCGGGGAGAAGGUAAGAAGCAACUUUUGACUCCCGCUCCGCCUGCUGCGAAUGGUCUCUUGAAGGAGCCCCUCCGGCCUUGGCUGGACUUUUGAGGGCGAUCUGGGGGAGUGGGGCUAGCAAGGAAGGAGAGACCUGCUCGCCCUGGCGGUCUGCUAUGACUGAAACGGAGGCGGGGGGCAGUUAUGGAAGCUGAGCCAAGCCGCUUCUCUUGCUCCUGAUUGGAAUCAGAGCUUUCGGGGGCUUCCGGUGCCUGCAGAAAGGAUCAGCCCCGCCGGAGACAGGUGCGGGAUCUCCUCCUCCUCGCAGGGUGUGCCUGUCUCAAGUGACGUCCAUGAAGCUGGGUUCAUGUUGAAGCUGAAGAGCCCGUACCCAGAGCAAGGGGGAUUCGCUUCCCUGGCCCACGUGCCCUCUUUCCAGCUGGAGCACAGCUACCCACAGCACAUGGAUGGCAAUGGGAGUUUGAAUGGAAGUGAUGGCGGGCAGAAAGAGGGCCUUCCUUACCCCUUGCCCACUACCUUAGCCCUCAUCUUCCUGGCCACGCUGCUGAUGCUCUUCACCAUUUUUGGCAACGUAUUAGUUAUCAUUGCUGUCUUCACCAGCCGGAUGCUGAGGGCCCCUCAGAACCUCUUUUUGGUUUCCUUGGCCUCAGCAGACAUCCUGGUGGCCACCUUGGUCAUUCCAUUUUCUCUUGCCAACGAGGUGAUGGGCCAGUGGUAUUUUGGCAAGGUAUGGUGUGAAAUCUACCUGGCUUUGGAUGUACUCUUCUGCACCUCUUCCAUUGUGCAUCUCUGUGCCAUCAGCUUGGAUCGCUACUGGUCCAUUACGCAGGCCAUUGAGUACAACCUCAAGCGCACACCACGCCGCAUCAAAAGCAUCAUCUUUCUGGUUUGGAUCAUCUCAGCUGUCAUCUCUUUCCCACCGCUUAUCUCCAUUAUGAAGCAGGGUGAGCCUGAGAGUCAGCUCCAUGAACAAACAGAAUUGAAACCUGAGAACAAGUUGCCAAGCUGCAGUAUCAACAAGGAAACCUGGUACAUCAUCUGUUCUAGCAUUGGCUCCUUCUUUGCUCCCUGCCUUAUCAUGAUCCUGGUCUACAUCCGUAUCUACCAGAUUGCAAAAAGGAGGUCUCGAGUGCCUCUCAACAAGCGAGGGGAGACUGUAGAGAGGAGACAGAAUGGAUUGGAUGACAAAGACGAUAUGCCUGCAAUAACCAAGCUCAAUGGGGGGAAGAUAGCAUUGGCAGGAAGGAGCCAGGAAGCAGAAGUCAAUGGUAUAGACCUGGAGGACACGUCUUCUUCAGAGCAGAAUGACACCCCUCAGCCUAGGAAAGCAGAAAGGCUCCCCAGAAAUAAGGGCAAAACCAAACUCUGCCAAAUUAAGCCUGGGGACAAUUUGCCUAACCAAGUAGAAGAGGAUAGGAAUGCCAAAGCUUCACGAUGGAGAGGUAGACAAAACCGAGAAAAGCGCUUCACCUUCGUACUUGCAGUAGUGAUUGGAGUUUUUGUUGUCUGCUGGUUUCCUUUCUUCUUCACUUAUACAUUGACUGCUGUUUGUAACAGCUGCCAUGUUCCUGAGACCCUCUUCAAGUUCUUCUUCUGGUUUGGUUAUUGCAACAGUUCCCUGAAUCCUGUCAUCUAUACUAUCUUCAACCAUGAUUUUAGGAGGUCCUUUAAAAAGAUUCUCUGCAAAAUAGACCGGAAAAGAAUUGGGUGAAGCAGGGAUCUGUUUGCAAGGCAAGUCUUAGGUUCAGCUCUGGCGGGAUAUUGGAAGUGGGUGGCACCUUGUCUGAUUACUGAGCAUUGACUCUUCAAAGGCUUCAGCACAUUGAAAUGAACAAAUGAGGGUGAGAAAGGAAAUUGUAAGUCAUAUCUUUCAGAAGCACUUUCUAUUUUCCAUCUAAGGUCCCUGAUGUUGUUAUGACAUUGCGUCUUUGAGAUCUGUGCAUCUUUAACUUUUAUAGGAGAAAUUAGCUUUAAACUGUUUUAAAUAUUUCUUGAGAUGCAUUGUAUAUGAAAAGCAAAAGAAAGACAGACAUUUGAGUGGACCUCUGCUGCCAUCUCAUCAAUUUAAAAUAUAAUAUUAAAUUCCAAAAUUUCCAAUAUGGUUCUGGAUGUUGAGAUAUAACAACUGGUAAUGUAAGCUUUGACACAAUGGCCAGUGUUUUAUUGUAUUCACUAUUUGUAUUUGUUUUUUCAAACAAAAUCAUGUUUGUCUUGUCUUUUUUAAAUGCAGUAUUGUUAAAAGACUGUAUCUCUUAUUCUGUACCAAUUGAGAGAAUCAAAUACGAAGGAUUUCACUUAGAAAAGGAGCUGUCAAAAAAGCUUUCUAAGACCUCAGAGGUUUAAGAUAAAGUAUUCUUUCUUUGUGAUCCUUUCAUUGAGAUAUGUUCAAUGAAACUUACUUCUUUCUCUAGUUGUAAAUAGAUACCAUAGAUGAAAUUCUCUGUUUACAGUGUUAUUUGAUUUACAGUUUUUACAUUUUUAUUUGUGCUAGCUCUCCUGUACAAAAAACAUAUUUUCAUGUACAAGUUCAUUUUUCCCUUUUUAUCUAAUAUGAAACCAUACAAAUCUUUUUUUCCAACUACAAAAUUGGAUUAUAGAACUCUUUUGAUUAGUCAUAUAGUGUAUGUUAUAAAUGAAUAUAAAGGAGAAAGAAAAUGAAUAGAAUAAUUGUAACAUGUAAAAAAUAAUGUUGGCAUAGGAAGAAAUAUCUUUGUUAACUAUCUUUUUUAUUUGUUUUCCCAGAAAUACGUAUUGCAAGUUAACUUCCUCAGCUCAUCAAAUAAAUAUACUGAGUAUUAUUAAAAGGGAAAUGGAAAACAUCAGAAUUUUAUUUUCAACAUUAUGACAUUUUCAAUUACAUUUACAAUCUGAUUAAGUACUUUGUAGCUGAUGAUGCUGGAAAAGCUCUUCCUUUUAAAGCUGUAAAGUUGAUUUAUUCUUGCUUUUUGUGCAAGUUUUUAUAUGGAUGACAGGACCUUCUUUAAAAAAAAAUGCCACCCUACUCUAUGGGACAUUAUGGAUAUUCAGUCUUCAGACUCGUAUGCCUUCACUUUGUAAGGAUACAUAUCCAAUCUGUUAAAUAAAAAAAUGAAUCUGACACUGCUAUUCAGCUAAAACUAGAAUGCUAAUAAUAGAGAAGGGAAAAGGAAAUAAUUUAUUAGCAACAAAUAUAUUACUUGUCUAAAAGCUCAUUUUUUUAAAAAAAAAUUGAGUUAAUUACAAAUGUUUGCAUAAAGCGUUUUUAACCUAGAUUUUAAAAUUUCUUUUUUUAAAGACUCAUUUUCCAGUUCAAGGAAUUCAUACUAUUUAUAUGGAGUUGUUUCUAAAAUGUGUAUUAGUAUCCAAGGGCUCAAACAAUGGGGGGUUUGAUGGGGACAUGGGGAUGUAUACACCAGCACACAGUCAAAAAUAAUGCUGCCAUUAUAAGUCUGUUGCAAAGGUAUUGCAAUUUAGCAGGAUUGAGGCCAGGCCUUAUAUAUGAAUCUGGCAGCUGGGUAAUAUACAGUUUUUCCUUGCAUUCAGUUUAAUAUGAGAGAGCACUCUGUCACUUUUUCCCUGUUGCAGUAAAACAAGAUAAUAAAAGUAAAAAGCCUGUGUGACUUCCCCUAUUUGUUGUAAUUAACUUUUGAAAUGUUGGAAUUUUAAUACCCACUGCUUACCAGAAAAAUCAGGACACAUAGAUAAGGAGUUGUUUUUUUUUGAUGAAGGUGAUCUGUCUACAUUGUGCUGUAAAUUUGUAUAUCCCCAGUUUCAUGCUUUCUUGCUAUAUUUGGGCUGAAACUUCCAGAGUUGUUAAGGAAGGCUGGGAAUUCCAUAGGAGAUAAGCCAACACAUUUGGAGACUCCAGUUUGGGGAAAGCUGAUGUAUUUCUAAUGCCUUGAAGGCUCUGUACAAGAGAUUUCAGUUAGAAACAUCGCAACCCAUUUAGCUGGCUUUACCAGACUUACAGAUUGGUCCUAUGGUUUGUAACAAGGAAUUUAACUGCUAAAUUAGUUUAUACAGUAAUCAGGUAACAGAGAUCCAAAACAACUCAUUUACAUAGGAAUUUGAGAACCAUGUUUUCAAUAUCUUUCCAAAUACUGUCUCUGCAAUUGUCUAUCCGUAAUAGGAAGAGGAAAUCUUUUGAAAUGGGUUCCUCAUGAUAUAAAAAGAACAGCUUAAAACUCAGGCUAGAUGGAAAGGCCAGAAUCAAUGGUUUAAAACUACAAGGAACUACAAGAUUAGAUGUCAGGUGAACUUUCUCACUAUAUGAGCUGUAGGUCAGUGAAGUAAGAUGCACAGAAAAUGAUAGAAUGUAGUGGAAAAAUAGGAUGGCCUUGAAGUACAAAAGGAAGAUCUUCAGAUAAAUGAAACCUGAGCCCAGGCCAAGAAAAUACUUUGAGAAAGUGUCUCAGACAGUGCUCCCCUCCAGUUAAUUCUCAUCAAGAUGAAAAAGGAAGGUAGCACAUUCCGACUUACAAGAUUCUGUUCCUAUAGCUGUUUCAAUAAAGUAGCUUAGAUCUGGAUGGUGUCUGUUUCUUAGUCAACUACCUGAUGGGGUUGACAUCAUUUCUUCUUUGCCAAAAGUCUUCAAACAGAAGCUAGAUGGCUUCUGUCAGAGAUGUUAAUCUAGAGGAUCAUAUAUGCAGCAGGGUGUUGAAUUAGAGGUGAUGUUUCAAUGACUCUUUGAAGUCUUACCGUUUUGAUAAUACAUAAAUCCAGAGAAAAUGAAAUAUACUCAAAUCUUAUUUAGCUGGCUCUGUUAAUGAAGUUCCUUGCCCACACACUGAGCUCUUAGGCAGAAAUAUGGCUUCUGUACUGCCAGUAAAAGGGGUGACCCUUUCACUCAGUUUGAUGAAUGGGAUUGGCUGUCUCCAGAAACUCAUCAGAAAGAAAACCAAAGAGCCUUCUUAUCAUCUGAAAAAUGACUUAAGGUGAAAUAAACUGUAAAUUUUAGCCUGUUGAUCCGAAAUAGCACAAGGGGAAAGUUAAUUGGCCUUGUAAAAGAUCUUGGCUUGAGGAUGUGGGUUGCAUAUUUUUAGGGUUCUGGUAUUCAACGUACUGUAUGAAACAAGUAAACAAAUGCCUUACACUGGAAAAAUAAAGUGGUUUCUGGAAUAUCUUUCUAAAUCAAAGUUGUAUCUGGUAUAACAAUCCCUGAAUACCAUGCCAUUUGACCUUUUUAAGAAAAUGUAACAUGUAAACAGAUAUAGCCAUAAUGGAUUUAUAAAUAAAUGAAUAAAAUUGACACUUCUAAA